rnacentral:misc_RNA from 1 species
AAGUCGUAACAAGGUUUCCGUAGGUGAACCUGCGGAAGGAUCAUUAACACGUAUCCAACGUUAAACCCCCCGUGCACACAGCGACCUGCUCCCCUCAAUUUCGGUCUUUUGGCAAUCCCUGGUAAAUCAUCGCCGAACAGUUUUGAUUCAGGGACAUCCAAAGGGCCGGGGUAGGGUAUUAAAGUAGUAGUCAAUGCAAAGCAACCUGGUUUCUUUGAAGCAGAAAGUGUGAAGAACGGACCGAGCUGUGGAAAGGAAGACGCUUUACGAAUCACUGUCCAACACGGUCAGUGACCGGGUUCCUGGUCCUACAUAUUCACCACCACAGUCGAGGGGAUACGUCCCUACCACCAAAUAAAUACUUGAACAACUGUGACAAAAUGGAUAUCUUGGUUCU